rnacentral:lncRNA from 1 species
AUUGGAUCUAUUGAGGUGCAGCUGGUACUAAACCAAUUGAUCGGUAUAACGUCAAAAAUCCUGUUUGUCAGGUUCAGAAAUUGCCUCUCAAGGACGGGAACUGGCUAAUCAUUUCCAAAGUGAAGGAACUCCAGUUAUGAUCGGGGGAGGAGUUUUGGCCCACACAAUACUAGGAGUUGCAUGGAAUGAGAUUACAGGGCAGAUAAAGUUUCUGAUUCUAGAUCCACAUUAUACCGGUGCUGAAGACCUGCAAGUUAUUUUGGAAAAGGGCUGGUGCGGAUGGAAGGGCCCAGAUUUUUGGAACAAGGAUGCAUACUAUAACUUAUGUCUUCCUCAGCGACCAAAUAUGAUUUAAAAUAUCUUGGAGUCAAAGACUGCAGUAGAGUGGUAUUAUAAAUUUGUGAAUAAAGAAUCAGUUUAAUUUUUCACAUUAAAUCCUGGUUCUAGUUUGACGAUUUAAAUUAUGACCUUUUUCAAAGGUUGUAAAUACUGCACGGAGAAUGUAUUUUUUAGACGUUCCUUUAAUAACUUAAAAGACAAAGCAUACACAACCAGCAUAUUAUAGGCAUGUAAAUACAUGUGUUCUUAAAUGGAUCUUCACUUGGAAGAAAGUUUUUCGUCCUUCUCAGAAGGAGAUUAGACACAACAUAUGGUAAAGCCAAAAGCAGGAGCUUAUAGAUUUGCAUGAAAUGAAGGCGUUCUUCAGACUUCUUCAUAACCCACGUGACAUCUGUUUUUAAAAACACGUUAACAUUAAAAACUUUUUUUUAAAAAGAGUUUUAUCCCCAAACUUCCACCAUGCAGUCCCAUUUUUGGUCUCUAGACUCUGGUAAGUAUAACCAGUACUAAAAUGUUAAUGAGAAUGAAACAAUACUACUAGAAAUACGAGUGUCAGUAUUAAAUG